rnacentral:rRNA from 1 species
AAAGGGUUGCGUGGCGGUUUAUUAAGUCAGUGGUGAAAGACGGUCGCUCAACGAUUGCAGUGCCAUUGAUACUGGUAGACUUGAGUGAGAUUGAGGUAGCUGGAAUGGAUAGUGUAGCGGUGAAAUGCAUAGAUAUUAUCCAGAACACCAAUUGCGUAGGCAAGUUACUAAGUCUCAACUGACGCUGAGGCACGAAAGUGUGGGUAUCAAACAGGAUUAGAUACCCCAGU